CAGCCGCCGCGGUAAUACGUAGGGUGCGAGCGUUAAUCGGAUUUACUGGGCGUAAAGCGUGCGCAGGCGGCCCGUUAAGACAGGUGUGAAAUCCCCGGGCUUAACCUGGGAACUGCGCUUGUGACUGCACAGCUAGAGUAUGGCAGAGGGGGGCGGAAUUCCACGUGUAGCAGUGAAAUGCGUAGAGAUGUGGAGGAACACCGAUGGCGAAGGCAGCCCCCUGGGCCAAUACUGACGCUCAUGCACGAAAGCGUGGGGAGCAAACAGGAUUAGAUACCCGCGUAGUCCCUGUCUCUUAUAC
rnacentral:rRNA from 1 species